AUAUUGUCACCCUAAUAGCACCAACACCAACCACUCUACAUGGGUGAUCAUCUCCAAGACUCACACUACCACCAUCUGAUUUCUCAUAACAGGCAAACCAAUCACGAUGUGCAGUGUAGUGGUGGGAAUAUGUUGCAUCAAGUGUCCAAUGGCCAUCAAACUCUACUACCUCAUCUGAUACUACCAAUACAUCAUCUCCACU
rnacentral:lncRNA from 1 species